rnacentral:sRNA from 1 species
UCUCCGUACGGGGAAGGAUGAGAAGCUUCGACUAAGGUUCGAUUCGAGCGAAAGCGAGAGAACGUUGCCAACGGCAACGGCCCGAAGGGCGAAGCGCGCAGCGCUGAGUCAUCCUUCCCCCACCACCA